rnacentral:rRNA from 1 species
CGGAGAGUUUGAUCCUGGCUCAGAGCGAACGCUGGCGGCAGGCUUAACACAUGCAAGUCGAGCGGGCCCUUCGGGGUCAGCGGCAGACGGGUGAGUAACGCGUGGGAACGUGCCCUUCGGUUCGGAAUAACUCAGGGAAACUUGAGCUAAUACCGGAUACGCCCUUAUGGGGAAAGGUUUACUGCCGAAGGAUCGGCCCGCGUCUGAUUAGCUAGUUGGUGAGGUUACGGCUCACCAAGGCGACGAUCAGUAGCUGGUCUGAGAGGAUGAUCAGCCACACUGGGACUGAGACACGGCCCAGACUCCUACGGGAGGCAGCAGUGGGGAAUAUUGGACAAUGGGGGCAACCCUGAUCCAGCCAUGCCGCGUGAGUGAUGACGGCCUUAGGGUUGUAAAGCUCUUUUCUCCGGGACGAUAAUGACGGUACCGGAGGAAUAAGCCCCGGCUAACUUCGUGCCAGCAGCCGCGGUAAUACGAAGGGGGCUAGCGUUGCUCGGAAUCACUGGGCGUAAAGGGCGCGUAGGCGGCUGAUUUAGUCGAGGGUGAAAGCCCGUGGCUCAACCACGGAAUGGCCUUCGAUACUGAUUGGCUUGAGACCGGAAGAGGACAGCGGAACUGCGAGUGUAGAGGUGAAAUUCGUAGAUAUUCGCAAGAACACCAGUGGCGAAGGCGGCUGUCUGAUCCGGUUCUGACGCUGAGGAGC